rnacentral:misc_RNA from 1 species
UAAUGAGAGAGGUCCUGCUUUCAAGAUCUUGCUUGUCAUGAGUGUUUCUAUCCUGACUUCUUGUUGCUCUUAUGGCCUACCAUGGUUUGCAGGGUGCAUUCCAUGUCCUGUAGGCUUGGAGGAAAAGUGCCCAACUAUAGGUCGCUCUGGAAACUACAAAAAUUUCCAGUGUCCAGCAGGGCAUUACAAUGAUCUUGCAUCACUCUUUCUGAACACCAAUGAUGAUGCCAUCCGCAAUUUGUUUAGUUCAAAUAAUUCAAAUGAAUUUCACAUCUCUACACUUCUAAUCUUCUUUGCUGGGGUAUAUUGCCUUGGCAUUAUUACCUAUGGA